AACCCUACAGACCAAUGAGAAACUGAGAACUCAAACUCUGCCUUCCUCUAGCCUCUCUCUACCACUUUGAGUUGGAAUUCAGAUUGAGUCCAACUGAGAUUCAGUAAUGAGUUCUGCCUUAUGAAGAUUGACAGAGAUCAAGUUCAAUUCCACGGGAACUUCACAAGUUCCUCUUUGGGAAAACUACUACCACCACCACCACGAUCAUGCUUUUUGGGCUUUUACUAUAAAUUUCAUCAAGGUAUCUUAGUUUCAUUUCACAUUAAGUCCUUGUCUCAGGUGUCAGUACCUCUACAGAUGUCUGUUAAAGCUCAGACAGGACUGGUGGUGAACAAUGGAGAGACUUAGAACUUUUUAAUAAUCAAAACUUAUCUUAUUUAAGAAGGGCAUGUGAAUAUCUUGUAGAGGCCAUGAAAACUUUUGCAAAAAGACCUAAUAGUUGGAGAAUAUUUGAACAACUGAGACAGGAAAUGAGAGAACACCCAUCAGUGUAUCUAGAUGGGGUAGUCAAGGCUGCUGAGAACAUUCUUGGAUUUCAAAACCUGAAGGAAGACAAUUUCCAGCACAGCAGUAGACAAUUCAUUUAAGGAAGCAGCCUGCCCAUAAAAACAUAUUUUAGGUUGCAUUGACUUGGAUGGGAGUGUAGAGGAAUUAAGUGUAGAGGAAUUAAGGAAAACAUCAACUUUCCUUUACUCAGGUGAUAAGAAUACAAAGGAAAAAGAUGAGAUAAAGAUCUCAAACAGCAGCUUAAAGAGGCAAAUAACACCAUCAACCAAAAAGAGAUAGAAGAAAUAAAAAACUUAGCCACUUCACAAUCUUACAAACCCAGAAGAGAUUUCCAACAGAAUUGGCAAAGAACCAAUUUCUAGAGAUGCUUUUUGUGUGGCAAAAUUGGGCACAUAGUUAGGUAUUAUAACUUGAAGGCACAACUAGACUUAAAAAACAAUGUGUCAUCAAGGAAGAAUGACCAAAAGCAGAGUAAAACCUGAAAUUUAAUGAAGAUAGAUCCAGGUAUGAUAGAUGAGGUAUAUGGAACAUUCAACCAGUGGGGGAAGGGAGAAUUUGAGAAUUCUAUUUGAAGAUUCAAAGGAGGAGAAAAUUGUUGGCCAGAGCUGAGUCUGGUCACUCACUCACUCACUCACUCACUCACUCACUCACUGACUCUCUCACCAAAGAAUCUGACAAGAGCUAAGGAGGAGAGUUGUUUUCCAAUACCCUUUCUACCUGGCUGAGUGGAAGUUCUUGCCCACUGAAGACCUCUGCUGAUUUAAAUUCAUUUUCUCCUUGGGGAAAGUCAAAAAAUCUUCAACAGUUGAUAGGGAAGACAUUAAGGACCUCCCAUCUCUUCCCUCUACCCCUCUCUCUUCCUAUCUUUCUUUCCCAAGAAAUAAAUUAGCCAUUUAGUAUACAGAAGAUUGUCUCUAAAUUUUGUAAUAGGAGGGAAGAAUUCAAAGUCAAAGAAGAAAGUUGAGAGGGAAUGACUCACUUUUGGUCAGAUCCAGACUCCAUUAAGAUGGAACAGCUUAGUGGAGGAAGGAGGUAGUGGCUACACAUUAAUCGGCUCCCUCCAGCAGCUGAGCAGCUGGUUUCCUGUUCCUAGCACUUUAAACUCCUCUGUCUAUCCCACUAUUACAAUUUGGCACCCCAAGAAAAAAAUGAACCCACCCCAGGCUAUUGAAAAGAUAAAAUAGAGGUGUGUUUGUAAAGGAAACAAGAGAAUAUGAUGCUACAAGUUAUCUUCUGGGCAUCAGUGCUGAUAGCUAUUAUAAUAUAUUGGUCAUAUUUUAUUAUAUACAAUACAGUGAGACAGGGGUUAUGAUAGACACUGUAAACUUUAUAGCAAACUCAACAUCUUUCAUUACAAUGAUACCAUUUUCUAAUACUGUGAUAUGGCAAGUGGUAACACAGAUUUACAUUAUUCUCAUGGCCACAAUUCAGACCCUCUCCUAUUUGAGAAACAUUUUAAGACUGAUUACACCUAAGAAAGCUGCCCAAAUAUUGGUACUUGAUAACCUAGAAAUAAUGGUUCAAAGAAUGUGCUGUGAAUAUGUUUGCAAUCAGGGAAAAAGGAAAUGAUAAGGAAGGGACUGAAACAAAUGCAGGGAUUCCGGUUGGGGACACAGUGACUUCAUGAAAAGAUACAAACAAAACUAAUGACACUGAAGCACAUGAUACAAGGGCAAGGGUCAAAGUUUCUAAUAAGGCAGAGGAAAGUCAAUAAUAAUACAACAUCUGAUGAAGUCACAAGGUCUCAGAAAAUCUUACCUCUAAGGGACAUAGCUAAAAUAACCAAUGAGGCUGUUGUACUACACUCAAAGGUACAUAAGUCAUUUUCAACCCAAGGCUUGGACUCUCUGAAACGUCAGUUUCCAAAAUUCCUGUACGAACCUUACAAAUGUCUAAAAGAACUGAAAUGGGCCUUCAAAAUCUUCAAGCCUGACUUGGAUGAUGCAGAUUUAAUAUCAGAAGUAUUCAGCCCCCAUUAACACCAGACAAUUUGUAGAAAAAACUAGACAGGAUGCUAAUUUGACUGACUGGCCCAAGGCAAAUGCAAGGGAGGACUUUGACUUUACUAGCCCAUCAAGUUUUGCUUAUCUGAGAAAAUGAAGAGAAGACCUUUUGCAAGAUGAAUCCAACCCAGGCUAUUGAAAAGAUAAAAUAGAGUUGUGUUUGUAAAGGAAACAAGAGACAACAUGAUGCUACAAGUUAUCUUCUGGGCAUCAGUGCUGAUAGCUAUUAUAAUAUAUUGGGCAUAUUGUAUUAUAUACAGUGACAGGGGUUAUGAUGGACACUAUGAACUUUAUAGCAAACUCAAUAUCUUUCAUUACAAUAAUACCAUUUUCCAAUACUGUGAUGUGGCAAGUGUUAACACAGAUUUACAUUAUUCUCAUAGCUAAGAUUCAGACCCUCUCCUAUCUAAGAAAUAGUUUAAGACUGAUUAUACCCAAGAAAGCUGCCCAAAUACUAAUACUUAAUGACAAAUUAGAACAAAUGGUUCAGAGAAUGUGCUGUGAAUAUCUAGCAAGCAGAGAAAAAGUAAAGGAUAAGGAAGGGACUUUAUCUCCAGGCUUGAUAUUGUGUAGUGAAAAAUCCAGUAGUACCCUUUGUACUAACAAUCCUAGCUUUCUUAAUUCUUCCAACCUAUUUUGUAUUUCUACUAAAUAGGUAUGGAGUUGGCAUUCUCCUUUUAGCAUGGAAACACAAGAUGGUUUUGCUAUUCUACCUUGCCACAAAGGUUGACCAUGUAGCAUUUUUUUAAAAAAUUAUUUUAUUUGGUCAUUUCCAAACAUUAUUCAUUGGAGACAGAGAUCAUUUUCUUUUCUUUCCCCGCCUCCCACCACCUCUCCCAUAGCCGACGUGUGAUUCCACUGGGUAUCACAUGUGUUCUUGAUUCGAACCCAUUUCCAUGUUGUUGGUAUUUGGAUUAGAGUGUUCAUUUAGAGUCUCUCCUCAGUCAUAUCCCCUCAUCCCCUGUAGUCAAGCAGUUGCUUUUCCUCGGUGUUUUUACUCCCAGUUUGUCCUCUGCUUGUGGAUAGUGUUUUUUCUCCUAGAGCCCUGCAGAUUGUUCAAGGACAUUGCAUUGACACUAAUGGAGAAGUCCAUUACGUUCGAUUGUACCACAGUGUAUCAGUCUCUGUGUACAAUGUUUUCCUGGUUCUGCUCCUUUCACUCUGCAUCACUUCCUGGAGGUUGUUCCAGUCUCCAUGGAAUUCCUCCACUUUAUUAUUCCUUUUAGCACAAUAGUAUUCCAUCAUCAACAUAUAUAACAAUUUGUUCAGCCAUUCUCCAAUUGAAGGGCAUCCCCUCAUUUUCCAAUUUUUGGUCACCACAAAGAGCACAGCUAUGAAUAUUCUUAUACAAGUCUUUUUCCUUAUUAUCCCUUUGGGGUACAAACCCAGCAAUGCUAUGGCUGGAUCAAAGGGCAGACAGUCUUUUAUUGCCCUUUGGGCAUAGUUCCAAAUUGCCCUCCAGAAGACCAUGUAGCAUUUUGAAUGGGGAGAUGUACAAGUUGCCUUUGGGUCUAAUUCUCAGUUGAAAUAAAGCUAAAGGAAGAACAUCUGUCCACUUUAAGUGUGUCUGUGCACAGAGUUUCCCUAUGGUUGUUUUCAAUUCCAUGUUCAUGUGCUCAACUUGCCUUGAACUCUGAGGUCUGUAUAUAUCAUGUAAACUACUUUUUAUUCCCAAGUUCUUAUAUACUUCUUGUAGGAUCUCAGAAGUGAAAAAUGAGUUCCCUUGUCUGAGUGUAAUAUCAGGAAUACCAUAUCUAGGAAUUAUUUCUUUCAGCAAUGAUUUUACUAUUGUGACUGUGUUGUUGCUUUUAGUUGAAUAUGCCUCAACCCAUCUCAUCAAAACAUCCACAAUAAUGAGUGCAAAUUUGAAUCCCUUGUCAUUUAGCAUGGAAAUGUAGUCUGCAGACAUUGGAAUAGCAUAUAGCUUAAAGUCUGCCUCCCAAUGCUAUGUUCUUAAAGUGACCCUGAUUGAAUUUCCUACAUAUGUCACAUGCCUGACAAACUCUAAUAGCACUUGUAGAUAUCUCUGGGACAGUCCAAAAUCAACAUAUUGAGAAUGGAUUGUACUCCAUAAUGACCUUUGGAGUGAAUCACAUUGCACAGAUGUUGGUAUAGUCAUGUAAUUCAAGCAGAUGUAGACUUGGAUGGACAGGAAAUGAUUGAGCUUUGUACUGAUGUUACCAAUUCUUGAAACCUUUAAACCUCCAAAUAAUACUGAACCCUGUUUCUGUAACUAGGGGAUCAGAUAUAUGAUCUUUUGGUGAAUACUGGAGCCAGUAAAUCAGUGUUGCAAAGUCUUCCUAAAGAUUGUAAAGCUGUUGGUCCUAUGGAAGUGAUUGGAGCGAUUGGAAAACCUGAAAGAGUACCAAAACUACAACCUAAAAUGAUUACUUUAGGUCCACUGACCAUGGAGCAUGCACUUCUUUGUCCAGUGAACCUUCUCGGGAGUGACUUGCUUUGUAAAUUGCGAGCAAUAAUUCAAUGUACUAACGCUGGGGAUAUAUCACUACAACUCCCAGAAGAAUCUCUGAAGGCUUUUCCAUUGCUGUUCUUAGAUUUAGUCAGUGAAGAGAAUGAGUUUAAUUCCAUCUAUCAUAUUCCUGAGGGGAUAGACCAGGAGAUUUAUGAGCAAAGUCUUCCACAGAUGUAGGCCUAUCGAAAUAAGUUAAUCCAAUAAUAGUGAGAAUCAAGGAAGGACCAAUUCCUUGUGUUCCUCAAUAUCCUUUAAGUAAAGAAGCUAUAGAUAGAGUAAGACCUAUUAUUGAAUCCCUAAUUCAAGAAGGGAUCACAAUACCCUGUUUCUCAUAAUACAAUACUCCCAUGAGGCCAAUAAAAAAACAAAAGUUCAGUCAAGAUGGCAGAAUUGUCUAUAGAUUCAGAGUUGUAAAUGAUCAUGUCAGUCAGUGGUAGUCUCUUGGUGAUCGAGAAUGACUAUUGUCUUUGUGAAGUUUUGUCUACGGUGUACCCUCAUAUGGCUUUGAGUCCAAAAGCUGAGGCGCAGAGUUUAUGGCACAUGGGGCCUGGGACGCCAGUUGUUACAGGAGGUGCGGUUGUGGCCUGGUGUCGGCGUUCACGCGCAGCGGCAAGACGUCGACGUCGCUCAUCUUCAAAGGUGGCGGCGGCCUGGUUAAUGUGGGUUCGCCAGCUGCUUCUCUCAGAGGCAGCGAGUUCUAGUUGCUUUGGUGUAAUACCAGCCCACUUCAAGUUGGACUUUAGCUGAUCCUUGAAUCUUUUCUUUGGUCGGCCUUGUUUCCUGAGUCCAGCUGACAGUUCACCGUAGAAUACCUGUCGGUAUUCGCUGUGGGUCCAUGCAGAUGACGUGUCCAGACCAUCGUAGCUGGGUUUUGAGGACCAGGACUUCGAUGCUGGUGGAGUUGGCUCUGUUGAGGACUUCCUGAUUGGUGAUUCGGUCCUGCCAUUGGAUCCUCAUGAUGGACCAGACAGAGCUUUGGUGGAAUUGCUCCAGCUGUUUCAUGUGCUUCCGGUACAGUGUCCAUGUUUCACAACCUUACAGGAGCGAGCUGAGGACCACUGUGUUAUACACUUUGAGCUUCGUCGCAGUGCUUACACCGCUGUGUUGGGGGACUUUGCAGCGCAGCCGCCUGAGUGCCUGGCUGGCCUUUUGGAUGCUGGCAUUGAUCUCAUGGUCUAGGGACCCGUCGUUGGCGAUGGUACUGCCCAGGUACUUGAAAGUGUUGAUGUUAGAAAGCUGCAUGCCUUCAAUUGUAAUGCACGGCUGGUUAGUUGGCCUCCCUGGUGCAGGUUGGAAGAGCACCUCUGUUUUGCUGAGGCUGAUAGUCAGGCCAAACAGUUUUGUUGCGGUGGAGAACCUGUCCACAAUGGUUUGGAGAUGAUUUUCUUGGUGGGCCAUGAGAGCACAGUCAUCUGCGAAGAGAGCUUCCAGGAUGAGUCUCUCUGUUGUCUUUGUUUUUGCAGUCGGGCAGUCAGUUAGCAGAGUGGCGCAGCGGAAGUGUGCUGGGCCCAUAAACCAGAGGUCGAUGGAUCGUAACCAUCCUCUGCUAUCUCGUGGUUACCACUGGGGUGUAUGGGGUGCUCAGGGAGGGGUAGUAUCUCUGGUAUGGAGGGAUUGUCGUGCCCUCCUAGGGCAGCUCUCCAGCCUCUGACACCCAGCUCUCACUUGUGGCUCCCAGUAGCUGCUAGCAUGUGGCAGUGGCCACACCCCAGGCAAUGGCUUCGACAGGCCGGCCAAACCUUGUGAGGGUAGCCAUUGGGUCAUCGACCCCUGGUGAACCAGGGCUUUGCUCACCCAGCAUGUGAAAAUGAUCAUGUAAUAAAGACUCAUCCUAUAGUACCAAGUCCAGCUGCUAUAAUCUCAUCCUUUCCAAGUCAAGCAAGAUAUUUCACCGUGGUAGAUUUAUGUUCAGCAUUUUUCUCGAUGCCAGUUCAUGAGGAUUCUCAAAAGAUCUUUGCUUUCACAUGGGAUAGUACCCUAUUGUAAUAGUCCACCCAUGUGUAUGUACAAGGUAGAUGUUUAAUCUGUAAGGAUUGUGUUGGGAAAUCAUGCUCAGUCCAGUGCAUGGCAGGAAAGGCCUUUGAUCCCAGCAUUCUUAAGAUUGUGGCGCGAACACAGAUAUCUUUGUGCUCACCUGGCUGAGGUAAUCCACGCCUCUGCCUUGUAACUUACUCUUGAACCAAUGGCAAUCCACUGUGUCUUCAUUAAUAUGUAUUACAUACCUUUACAUCACAAUGUCAAUAAAUACUAGCAGCACACAGAGAGCCACUCUUUUUAUCUCUUUCACCUGUCCCUCUCCUACCUGGAACUUGGCCUCUGGCCAGGAACCACUUUUCUUAUGGAACUUCCUUGUUCUCUGUAAAAGACCUUUCCUUCUUAAUCUCCUAAUGUCAAGGCUGUGUGAUCUGUGCUUAGAGUGCAAGCUCUAAGCCAUCAGAGGUUAUUCUCUCAGCUGAUCUCUAUGCUCAUUCCUGAGUCCCAUAUUGUUGAUUUAAGGUUAUCUAACUGUCUUGUUUCCUUGCAAAGUUAGAUAGCUAGGGCUCACUGUGUAGCUCGCUCUUUGUUUAAAUUGCGUAGGUGUCUGGCUCUAUUCUUAUCCAUUACCUUGGCUCCAGCUCUUCCCUCAAGGUCUAAUCAACCAAUCUUUCCUUUCAUAUAACGGCUGCUGGACAGCACAUUAUACCUAUGGACUUUCAUUCAUCUUCCACAGGGAUACUGUGAUAGCCCAAGUCAAUUCUCUCAAAUUUUGAGAACAGAGACCUUAUAAUAUCAUUCAAGGAAAGUAAAAUAGUAAGUUUUGUACAUGAUAUCCUCCUAGCAUCUACAUCUGCUAAAGUGUGUUUAAGAGAUAGCAAGAUUCUUUUGAUUGAAUUACAUAAAUGUGGACAUAAAAUCUCUAAAGCAAAACUUCAGUGGGUUUUGCCUUGCGUUGAAUAUCUUGGUUUUGUAUUGUCAGAGGGUUCCAGAAGUAUCACUAAGAAAAGAAUGGCUGAUAUCCAGAAACCAAGUGUGCCUAAGACCAAGAAGCAACUCAGAGCUGUUCUUGGGACAACUGGUUUUUAUAGACAAUGAAUACUUGGAUAUAGUGAAAUUACUAAAUGUUUAACAAAUCUAACCUGGAAUCUGCAAGCCUUAAGGAAGCUUAAAGGAAGCAAUUUUAUCUGCACCACCUCUUGGAAUCCCAGACUGUUCUAAACCUUUUCAAUUAUUUAUGAAUGAGGCAAAAGAAAUUGCAUCUGAUGUACUGACACAGACUUUAGGACAAAGUUAUCAUCCAAUUGGAUACUAUAGUUGUCAGCUAGAUCCAAUUGCUGCAGGUACAGUUCCUUGUUUAAGGGGUAUAGCUGCUGUAGCUGUGUUAGUUCAAAGGUCAUCAGACUUAGUUUUGGGAUGUCUGUUGACAGUAUUUUGUUCACAUCAAAUAAAAGCACUUAUGAGGAAAUUUCGUACUCAAGCAUAUUCAGACCAACGAAUAUAAAAUUAUACUUCUAGGUAGUGAAAACAUUGAGUUGAAAAGGUGUAGUGUAUUAAACCUAGAUACACUUCUUCCUGAUUUGCCAAAGAACAGUGAACCAUUACAUGAAUGUUUAGAAGAAGUAGAUCUAGUGGAUGUGCCGAGGAUGGAUUUAAAAGACACUCCAAUUGAAAAUCCAGAUUUGGUUUUAUUCACAAAUUGAUCUUCAUAUUUGUGUAAUGGAAUUAGAUGUACAGAUGCUGCAGUUGUCACAGAAUUUGAGACACUGUGGUAUGGAUCAUUAUCUAGUAACCUUAGAGCUCAAAAUGCAGAGUUGAUCGCUUUAAAGCAAGCAUUUCUUCUGGCCGCUGGUAAAAGUGCUAACAUUUACACAGACUCACAUUAUGCUUUUUCUGUUUGUCAUGCUACAGGAAAUAUCUGGAAACAAUGAGGUUUUAUUACUGCCUUGGGAAAACCAAUUGCUCAUGCAGAAAUAAUAACUGAGUUGUUGGAUGCUAUCCAGAAACCUAAACAGUUAGCGGUAAUCCAUUGUAGAAGUCAUACUAAUAGAAGAGAUUCAAUUGCUAAAGGAAAUCAUAGAGCUGAUAUAACUGCUAAAUUUGCUGCUAGAAAUGCCCCAGUGUAUAUUAUGAACUUAUCAACUAUAGAAUCUGAUGAUCUAGAAAAAGCUUAUGUAGACUCAGAAAUAUAAAAAUGGAAAGUGAAGUUUGGAGCAAGAAAAGAACAUGGUAUAUGGUUAACAGAUACAGGAAAACCGCUGUUACUAAAAGACCUAUAUACCUAUUUGCAUCAAGCCAUUCACACAAAAGGUCAUUUUGGUACUCAAGUUAUAAUUGACACCAUAAAGAGACAAUGGGUUGCUUCUGGAAUAAGUACUGUAGCAAAUAAGAUCUGCUCAAGCUGUUCUGUUUGCCAAAAAUUCAAUCAAGGAGCAUUCAGACACAAAGGUUUAUAGGUGGUAGACCUUUAGCAUAUUUUCCAUUUGAGAGUCUGCAGAUUUAUUACAUCAGCAUGCCAAAAGCUAGCAGAUACAAGUUUUGCUUGGUAAUUGUUGAUAGAUUAACUAAAUGGCCUGAAACUUCCAUCAAAUACAAAUACAGGUAGCUUUGUGGUGAAAGUGUUAAGGAAAUUAUACCUAGAUUUGGAGUACCAAUAACAACAGACUCUGAUAAAGGAUCCUAUUUCGCUCAUGACAUCCUGAAAAGAGUCUGAAAAUCUAGGAAUAGCACCAAAAUAUCAUGUGUCUUAUCAUCCACAAAGUUCAGGGCAAGUGGAGCACAUAAAUAAGGAAAUAAAGACUAUUGUGGGGAAGCUCUGUGCUGAAACUCAUUUCAUAUGGCCAGAGAUUCUUCCCAUAGCUUUGUUUUACCUACCUAUGAAGCCAAGAGCAGAUUUACAUAUAUCAUUCUAUGAAAUGCUCUUUGGACAUACUCCACUACAAGCAAAAACAUUUAAGACAGUCUAUACAUCUCUCUUAGGAGGAGAUUGUCAACUUGCUUCUUAAGUGCUUUACAACAAAGACUAAAAGAAUUACAUGAUAUGGGAAUAUUAAUUAAAACUGGUCCUUUGGAUUAUUCUCUUCAUAAUUAUGAACCAGGAGAUAUAGUAUAUGUAAAAAAUUUUGCUAAAACAUCAGCAACACAGGAAAGUUGGUUAGGUCCUUACACUAUUGUGUUGGUUUCUCCAUCUUCAGUAAGAAUUUUGGGUAGGGAUUCCUGGUGUCAUUGUUCACAUAUAAAAUUAGCACAUGGUAUAAUAAUAAAAAUGUAUAAAUAAUUGAAGAAGAAGAAAAUGAAGAAGAGAUUGCAAAAAGAUAAAAUCAUCAGAUUGAGUCUGCAGUCAAAAAGAUCAGUAAGGAGAGGACCAUUUCUGCGGAAGAGGAUAGAAGAGGACAAUGUAGAUGAAGAGGAGAAUUCAGGAAUUAAUGGACAUUGUUAAAAGACUGAACAUUUAUAAACUUAAAAGACUGUAAAAUUUGCAAUGAAGAGGAUUACAGGAUAAAUGGAAUAAUGAAUUUAUACUUUGGGUAAAGUAUUAUAGUAAAUAACAUAGCAUUUAUUCACAUAUGUAAAAAUGGACUUGAAUCCAGGACUUAAAUCCCCAGAAGUCCUUGCUCCACUUCCCCAAAAUGCUUUGUAAUCUCACUGAAUUCUCACCUGGGCCGAGAGCAAAAUGAUUAUUUAAAGGGUCUCUGCCCACGGCAGGGGCUCUUCUCUUCUUGGCUCCGCUGGCAAACAGACGCAUCUCAUGAUGUGAGUGAAAUUUGGGUGGGCCUCAUGGCCACCUAGCAUGUGCUUCUCUAGCUUGUAUUUUCUUUAACCCUUGACCUUUAAUAAACCUCAUAAAAAUAAUACUCCUUGCAGAGAGAAACUAAUUUCUACCUGCCUCAGCUUCCUAAAAUUUUAAUCUUUAUACAUACAAACAUAAAUAUAUUUCCUACUAUGGAAUUGCAGAAGGAUAUUCAAAGAGGAGGUGAGAUGAGAAAGAAAGAUCUGAAGUAUGGGUAAGUAUGUUGCAUACAACAGUAACAUAACUCUUACAUAACAGUAACACUGACAUUUAAAUAGCAAAACAACAUGACAUAGCAAAAGUAACAACAUAAUAAAACAAACACAAAACAUAAACAUGGUUAGAUUACAUUAAAUCACUACUUGAAUGAGUGAAACAAUGUAUAGUUAGGGUACUAACAGUGUUAUGAUUUACUAACAAAAUGUAAUUACAUACUUAGAUUUAGUUUAGGUAUAGAAAUUUAGUUAGGAGAAGUAUUUUGAAGAUAGAGAUUAGUUAGGUAAAAUUAAGAUAAGAAACUUAGAGACUGACUUGUACUACAUCAUACAUUAUACAACACAAACAACAUAUGACAUCACAUAUGAAACAAAAUAGUAAAUUAUGUAAAUAUAUGUAAAUAAGGUGUAUAAUAGGAUUGUAAGUUAAUUGUAUUAUAGUGUAUGUAUAUAUGUAACAUAUGUGUAAAUAUGAAAUAUAUGUGCAUAUGUAUAUAACUCAUGUGUAUAUUGUAUGUAUAUACUAUAUGUAUACAUGUAAAUUAUUACAUAGUUCACUAAUAUUUAUUGUUACAUGUAUUUGCAUAAGUGAGUUUGAUGUUUGGUUUGAUUUUCAUUGUAAAACUUAUGCAAUGUUGUGUUUAUUGUAAUUUUCAAAAAAUUUUUUCUCUAAUGUUAAUGUACUGCAAAAGUAGUACAAUGUUCUGUUUUAGCUGGUAAGAGUAUUUUAAGUUUGGUGUUAUCUUUUGUUUGAUGUCAUUUGCUAUUUUGAUUUUGCUUCUAUUUGACAUUUGUACUUGUUCAGUGUUUACUUCAUUUUCCUUUUCCUUUUUCCUUGUUAAAAUUCCCUAGAAUAGGUUAGUUUUAGUUAGAGUAAGAUAGCUGAGUGUAGGUUGUUUGUUAUUUGGGGUAGAUUUCUUAGUUUAGGUAAUUGGUAAGUAUUUUAAAUUGUGCACAAAUGCAACACUAUUUUUGAUUCGUGCAAAAGGGGGACUGUGAUAAAGGAUGAAAGGUUUGCAAAAAUUGUUGCAAAAACAUAGAUGCAAACCUUAGAGAAUGAUUGACAGAAGCAUGUGACUACGGGUCACAUGGGAGCCUGAGCCUUGGGAUCUGGAAAAAUUUUAUGCCCAAUGGUUGCUUCUUCUCAGUCUGCUCUCCUGGAAGGACCUAAGGCUUGAAGAGGAUUUUCUCUGUGAUCAACAGAGGAAAGAGGUUUUCUGGAUUUGGCUGUUGGCAGUAUCAGUAAGAAGAUCUCUGGACCUACUUGGACAUCUACCAACUGAAGAACAGAUCCUGGCCCUAUUUGAUUGAACUCCUGGUGUGAGACUUGGACAUUAGAAAGUUAAUGCUUAGCUUAGUAAUAUAGUUUAGAUAAUUCAUAGAUAUUAGCUUUUUAAUUAAGUAUAAGUUUACUCCUAAACCCAUUUUCCUUCCUACCCUUCUCAAACAAUAAAUCUGAAUUGUUGUAUGUU